rnacentral:lncRNA from 1 species
AUUUUUAAUACAGCGGAGAUGUUUCUUGCUUUGUUUUCAGACUCUCCUUUUUAAUCAGGACAACAUUUGAAAGAUUUUAUUGUGCCUCUAAAGGGUAUAUUUGGGGGUUGGGUCUUUUUGUUAAACUCUGGAUAGUAAUAAGUUUCAGGUCAGUAUAGGCCCGAAUCAUGUGGUUUCAGGUAUGUUUUUCUUUUUUCUUUUUCUUUUUUUUUUUUCUUUUUUUUUUUUUUUUUUUUUGAGGUGGAGUCUCCCUCUGUUGCCCAGGCUGGAGUGCAGUGGCAUGAUCUCGGCUCACUGCAACCCUCCACCUCCUGAAUUAAAGUGAUUCUCCUGCCUCAGCCUCCCGAGUAGCUGGGAUUACAGGCACGCACCACUACACCCAGAUAAUUUUUGUAUUUUUAGUAGAGACGUGAUUUCACCAUGUUGGCCAGGCUGGUCUCGAACUCCUGACCUCAGCUGAUCUGCCCGCCUUGGCCUCCCAAAGUGCUGGGAUUACAGGCGUGAUCCACUGCACCUGGCCUCAGGUAUGUUUUUCUAUCUACACACAAAAAGUUUAUUUUCCUUCCUCUUAUUUGAUAUCAGAAGAAUGACAGGAAUCAGUUUUUAACAGAGAUAGUUUUUCCGUUUCUCCAUUGUGUUAAUCAGAGCGCAGACUUACAUUCUCAGUCAUUUAUCUUUUCUGGUGGAGAAUAAAAAGUCACUUAUAGUUAAAGAUCAGAAAAUUAUCACACCAAAUCCAUUACAUAUGUUAGAAUCAAUAAUUUACUCAAAAAUCAGCUUUUAUAGGUAUGUUGGCACCUUAUCCAAGAACUUAUCCCUGUUCCAGUACCCCUGUGCUUCAUUCAGUAUCAGUAACCCUGCAAUGAUUUUUACAAAUAUCUUUUUCUAGUGGGUUUUUUACUUAGAGGAAAGAACUUUGUAAUAGCUCUUAAUGUUUAUAUAUAAGAGAAGACAGAAUGGAAAAUGUUUUUUGAAGUCAAAUAUUGCAUGAUGUAAAGAAAAAACUUUAAACUUAAAUGAGUAGGUUGUCCUGAAUUACACUGGUAACUCUCUACUUCUUUAUUAAAGAAGUUAUAGUAAGAUGCCUUUGUUACCUGAUUUCAGUGUACAUUGUUUUUAUGUGGUUUUCUGAUAAUGUCCUGUCAGAAUUGUAUUGGUUUAGGCCAAAGGCCAUAGCAAAAACAUAGAGAACAAAUAUGAUCUUAAAAAUAGAUUGUAACAUUUUAAACAAUUAGUUUAGUAAUUUGGGAAAUAGUGGAUGCAUAAUACUUUAACAGAAGUCACACAUCUGUAGGUUUAUCUUUUGAUUAUUCUCCUGAGGCAUUAGAUAGUUUUUCUAUUAUAAGUGACAGAUUGACUCACUUAAUAUAAAUAAGUAGCAUACACUAAAAGCUUACUAUGUGCCAGAUACUGUGCUGGACACUUACAUAGAUAAGCCAUUGAAUCCACACAGCAGCCCUGUAAGAAAUAAGUAAAAUCUGCAUAAAGUGUUGAAAUAGGAAUAUACAUUUCAUUAUGAAAAAUGAAUAGAUUAUGCCUAUCUGAAUCAAUAUUGCAUUCAAAUAAGUGAUUACUUAAAUCAUAUAUCAUAGUUUACACUCCUUAAAAAAAGGUACAUAAAUUCAGUGAGGUUUUUUUCUUAACAUACAGAAGUACUAAAUACUGCUUGCAGUAUAAUAUUGAUAUUGGAAGCUGCAGUUUCCAGAAUAAGUGGAGUAAUAACUAAACAGACAUUUAAUUUUAUUUCAAUAUCUAUGGAAAAAACACUUAUUAAAUCUCCCUGUAUUUUAUGUUGUCUUUAUUACAGAAUCACUUGUCUGUUUGUUGUGUGCCACUUACUGACAAAACUUUAAACAGUACUUGAUGCCAGCUCUCUACUCUGUGGCUGUGGGACCUGUUUCUUUUAGGUACUUGUGCUUAUUAAUCUACUUACUAAAUUUUCACAUUGACAUUUUUGGGGAUGAUACUACCAUAUACGAAAUGGAAAAUGUAAUAUGCUCAGUGCUUCUGUAAAAUGCAGCAAUACUGGUAUUACUUUACAUCAGUAGGCAUCUUUGACAUGAGCAUAUAAAUAUUUUGUUGACUCAGCAAAGGUGACACUUUGUGACUAAAGUAUCCCAUUAUAUAUAAUGUUUUUUGAAAUGUUGGAAAUUUUGGGGAAUUAUCAAAUGUAUAGAAGUUGCAUGAAGGUUAUAGAGAGGUGUAACUGUUUGUUAACUAUUACAUGGAUUUCAUACUAGGCAGUGACAACUAACAUGUUACUUCAACUAAAAGUGUAUAAUGGGUUGUCUUUUUAUUUAUGAAAAUAAAAGUAAUUUUACUUACAAUUUC